rnacentral:rRNA from 1 species
UACGUAGGCAGCAAGCGUUGUUCGGAGUUAUUGGGCGUAAAGAGCGUGUAGGCGGUCCGGUAAGUCAGCUGUGAAAGUCAAGGGCUCAACCCUUGAAUGCCGGUUGAUACUGUCGGGCUAGAGUCCGGAAGAGGCGAGUGGAAUUCCCGGUGUAGCGGUGAAAUGCGCAGAUAUCGGGAGGAACACCAAUGGCGAAGGCAGCUCGCUGGGACGGUACUGACGCUGAGACGUGAAAGCGUGGGGAGCAAACAGG